CGCUAACCGCUGCAGGUUUAGCGGUUAUAGACAGUUGCAACUUGUGGCAUGUAACUGACACCAACUGUCGAUCCAUAAAAUAACUACCAUUAUUGUUGUUGUACCUAUUAUUAAAACAACAAUUUCAGUGGUUUAUUACAACAAUAUAUAGGUCAUUUCUAUGACACUUAAUAUGUAUUUUAUUUUCUCUUUUCAAGUUCAUAUAUAAAAUAAACUCACCCAAAAUUUAAUUAAAAUUUUUGAAAAUUAUUAACAACCAUUGUAUAAAGAAUAUCAGUCUUAACACAUGUAUACACGCUUCUUAAAAUAUAACUUAAAGAGCUUCCCUUAUCCCACAAUAGCAUCUCCGCCAAUGCGUGAGGUAAUUGCUAUUUGGGGAAACCGGAAAGAAUUAAAAAAAACCACAUCCUAUAUGUUACAACCCACAUCCCAUCUCCCAAUCAAAUUAACAUUUUUGCUUAGAAAAUAUGUAAAAUUAUCAAAUAAGACACUAUUUUAUUAAAGAUACGCAGACAAUUCAAAAUGGGGACAAUGAACAAAACCUGUUUUCAUUUCUUCAUUUCUGAUAGGUGUAUACCAAGUAAUUCAAGCAAGACCUAAAGUUAAAAUCAAACUCUCCUCUUGUUUUUAUGCUAAAAAAUUCACAAUAACAAUUUCACACCAAUAGCUCCAAUUGGGAUAAAGAAAAAAGUCCAAAAAUUAUAUAUAUUAAAAAAAAUACUGAAUCCUAAAGAAAGGUAUAAAUAUUGCGAUAUGGGUACUGAUGAAAUUUACUUAACAUCACAAUUUAGCUAAAUAUUGAGCAUUAUGCGAACAAUUUAAACAUCUUCUGCACACAAUUACAACUUCCACUUCUAUAUAUUACAAGAGGGUGCUUGUGUAAUCCAUAAUACAGAGAAAGACUGACCCAGUUGCAGAGAGUCUGUGUCUGGGCUCAACAGGACCGGGCGAGGUACCAGCGGCUCCUCUCAUGUUCGAUUCACUAACUGCUUUGGAACGGCAACAUCUGAUCUGAAAACAAAUUACUAUAAGAAUACAAUUUCAACUCGAAAUUAAAUCACAUAAAACAGACUCGAAAAGCACAAUUUAACAACUUGGAAUCUCACUGAUUAUGUCAGCAAAAGCUCUACCUGUGGAGAAAGAGAAAGAUGUGAUCUUGGCUGAAGAAAGUGACUGAUUUACAAAGAAAAUGGAAAUGGCAGUAGUGAAAGUUUGGAGAGAGAGGCGGUCAAGUGUUAGAACUCAAAAGAGCAAUAAUAUUUGUUAGGUAAUUAACUAAU
rnacentral:lncRNA from 1 species